rnacentral:misc_RNA from 1 species
AGCAGCCGCGGUAAUUCCAGCUCCAAUAGCGUAUAUUAAAGUUGUUGCAGUUAAAAAGCUCGUAGUUGAAUUUCGGGAUUGACACAUCGGUCGUGCCUUAAGGGGUAUGAACUGGUGUAGUCAAUUUCUCACCUUCUGGAGAACCGCGAUGCCCUUAAUUGGGUGUCGCGGGGAACCAGGACCUUUACUUUGAAAAAAUUAGAGUGUUUAAAGCAGGCAUUUUGCUUGAAUACAUUAGCAUGGAAUAAUAAAAUAGGACGGCAUGAUUCUAUUUUGUUGGUUUCUAGGAUCACCGUAAUGAUUAAUAGGGAUAGUUGGGGGCAUUAGUAUUCAAUUGUCAGAGGUGAAAUUCUUGGAUUUAUUGAAGACUAACUACUGCGAAAGCAUUUGCCAAGGAUGUUUUCAUUAAUCAAGAACGAAAGUUAGGGGAUCGAAGACGAUCAGAUACCGUCGUAGUCUUAACCAUAAACUAUGCCGACUAGGAAUCAGAUGAUGUUAAUUUUUUAAUGACUCGUUUGGC